UUUUGGCCCCAUAUGUUUUGCCUCUUUUGCACUUUUGGCCCCCUAGGCCAAUUUUGACCAAGUCAAUGCUGAUGUGGCGCCAUGUGUGUAAUUUUUUUUAUUUUUUUAAUCAUUAAAAGAAUAAAAAAAUACUUUUAAAAUUUUUUUAAUUAAAAAAAUAAAAUAAAAAAUACUUUUUUUUAUAAAAAAAAAAAAUAAUAAAAAAAUUACACACGUGGCGCCACGUCGGCAUUGACUUGGUCAAAAUUGGCCUAGGGGACCAAAAGUGCAAAGGAGGCAAAACAUAGGGGGCCAAAA
rnacentral:pre_miRNA from 1 species